UUCUAUCAUUCAAUGUCAGCCGUUUCGUUUCUCUUUUCCUUCUUCUCAAUGAAAUGAAACGCCUUUGUGAAGAGUUCUUUGUGAAGCCCUAGCUAUUUUCAUCGAUUCUAUUUCGUUUGAUUGCGAUUAAAACCUAUCAGAUGGUUUUCUCUGAGAUAUUUUUUCCCUUUCGUAUUGAUCGAUAACAUGGAAUCAUCGUUCAAUGGAUUUUCAAAUGAUUAAUCGUAGAAUGAUUCCUUCUUUUAGCAGAUGGGAGGAUACAUUGAAUUCGCAAAGGUGUAUUUUUCCAAGUAUCCUUGCUAAUCCAAACAAUAGCAGGAGAGAAACAAUUCCGGUGUAUGGUACAAACAGGUUCCGACAAGAAAUUCUACAUCGGAAUUUUGUAAAGUGGGUCUACUAUAAAAGCAAAUGAGUUUUACUACAAAGACGGCUUCCUACAGGAGAAAUUCUUAGGGUAGUGCAAUUUACCAUAUAAAAGUUAAAUCUUACAAGCAAAUAUAUCAGCAGUACGAAAGUGCAAAUGGCAAGCUGAACGUGACUGUUUAUAUUGAUGACUCAGUGGGUGAUUUGCUAUGCCUUCUUGAAGCUGAUACCGGGGUCAAAAGUAAGAAGUAAGCAUGGAUUCAAUUUCACUCCUCUCCCUGGGGUUGUGAAUAAGCAGAUAGAAUUCGUCAAAAGCAACUAAUCAUCUGGUUGGGAGGGUGUAUCUGGAGUUCGUUGGUUAGGAUAGAUACAUAGCAGACCAAAAAGCUCUUGAUGUUUCCUGUAAUUUGCCAAAAAACUUUGGUCCGACUGUUGAGAUUGUUCCUGUCUUGCCUAUAUCCGGUUAUGUAAUAUUCAACUCUGACCACUUAUUUCAAGCUUACUGGGGUCAUGUAAUUGUGGUGCUAAUUUGUUAACCCUUUGCACCAUUAGUAGCUUUUCAACCCAUUCUUGAGUGUCUUGACGUUUCUUCUUAGAUCCAUAUUGAACAAACAUUUUUGUUUUAGAAGAAUCUGAAUUUGUCACUAUUAAUGUUCUAUCCUCACUUCGGAUUUUUAUA